UACGUAGGGCGCAAGCGUUGUCCGGAAUUAUUGGGCGUAAAGAGCUCGUAGGUGGCUUGUCGCGUCUGCCGUGAAAGCCCAUGGCUUAACUGUGGGUCUGCGGUGGAUACGGGCAGGCUGGAGGCUGGUAGGGGCAAGCGGAAUUCCUGGUGUAGCGGUGAAAUGCGCAGAUAUCAGGAGGAACACCGGUGGCGAAGGCGGCUUGCUGGGCCAGUUCUGACGCUGAGGCGCGAAAGCUAGGGUAGCAAACGGG
rnacentral:rRNA from 1 species